AGCGAACGCUGGCGGCAGGCUUAACACAUGCAAGUCGAGCGGGCACUUUCGGGUGUCAGCGGCGGACGGGUGAGUAACGCGUGGGAACGUGCCCUCUGGUUCGGAAUAACUCAGGGAAACUUGAGCUAAUACCGGAUACGCCCUUUUGGGGAAAGGCUUGCUGCCGGAGGAUCGGCCCGCGUCUGAUUAGCUAGUUGGUGAGGUAACGGCUCACCAAGGCGACGAUCAGUAGCUGGUCUGAGAGGAUGAUCAGCCACACUGGGACUGAGACACGGCCCAGACUCCUACGGGAGGCAGCAGUGGGGAAUAUUGGACAAUGGGCGCAAGCCUGAUCCGGCCAUGCCGCGUGAGUGAUGAAGGCCUUAGGGUUGUAAAGCUCUUUUAUCCGGGACGAUAAUGACGGUACCGGAGGAAUAAGCCCCGGCUAACUUCGUG
rnacentral:rRNA from 1 species